UGCCGCCGCCUUGGCAUAGUUUGGAGU
rnacentral:piRNA from 1 species